rnacentral:rRNA from 1 species
UUCGCAAUGCCCGAAAGGGUGACGAAGCGACGCCGCGUGGGUGAGGAAGGCCUUCGGGUUGUAAAGCCCUGUCAGGAGUUAAGAAAUGUAGACUCGCUAAUAUCGGGUCUAUUUGACAAAGGCUCCAAAGGAAGCCACGGCUAACUUUGUGCCAGCAGCCGCGGUAAUACAGAGGUGGCAAGCGUUGUUCGGAAUUAUUGGGCGUAAAGAGCACGUAGGUGGAUUUGUAAGUCAGACGUGAAAGCCUUCUGUUCAACGGAAGAAUUGCAUCUGAAACUACAAACCUUGAGUGUAGGAGGGGAGAAUGGAACUUCUGGUGGAGCGGUGAAAUGCGUAGAUAUCAGAAGGAACGCCGGCGGCGAAAGCGAUUCUCUGGCCUAUUACUGACACUCAGUGUGCGAAAGCUAGGGGAGCAAACGGGAUUAGAUACCCCGGUAGUCCUAGCCGUAAACGAUGGGCACUAAGUAGAGGGGUUUU